rnacentral:piRNA from 1 species
ACAUUAAAUACACUGAGAUUCUGC